AAACCCUCCUCCCCAAGCUUGGAAUGCUGCUAGUAGACGAAUACAAGUUGCAGAAGGGUGUCAGGAGAAGAAAUUGAGGAACUAGAGAAAGAGUUGGAAAGCAUGAACACUGCCGAUCACCUGGAAUUUGUGGGAGGGGUUUUUGCCGGACGGGGUCGAAGCCAUGUGAUCCUGGCUCCAAUCCAAACCCACCCGCAGGGAGAGGGCGAGGUGGUCGGGGGAGCAGAGGGGGGACUCCGGCAAGGCACGGAACGGAGGGGCGAUGCUGGCAAGCCGCUGAGCAGAGGGGCGGCGCCCAUGACCGCGCGAGAU
rnacentral:lncRNA from 1 species